CCUACGGGGGGCUGCAGUGGGGAAUAUUGGACAAUGGGGGGAACCCUGAUCCAGCCAUGCCGCGUGUGUGAAGAAGGCCCUCGGGUUGUAAAGCACUUUCAGUGAGGAAGAACGCCUGGUGGUUAAUACCCAUCAGGAAAGACAUCACUCACAGAAGAAGCAUCGGCUAACUCCGUGCCAGCAGCCGCGGUAAUACGGAGGGUGCGAGCGUUAAUCGGAAUUACUGGGCGUAAAGCGCGCGUAGGUGGCUUGAUAAGCCGGUUGUGAAAGCCCCGGGCUCAACCUGGGAACGGCAUCCGGAACUGUCAAGCUAGAGUGCAGGAGAGGAAGGUAGAAUUCCCGGUGUAGCGGUGAAAUGCGUAGAGAUCGGGAGGAAUACCAGUGGCGAAGGCGGCCUUCUGGACUGACACUGACACUGAGGUGCGAAAGCGUGGGUAGCAAACAGGAUUAGAUACCCGUGUAGUC
rnacentral:rRNA from 1 species